GCGGGAAUAGCUCAGUGGUAGAGCACCUCCUUGCCAAGGAGGGGGGUCGCGGGUUCGAAUCCCGUUUCCCGCU
rnacentral:tRNA from 1 species